rnacentral:rRNA from 1 species
UUAGUAACGGCGAGUGAAGCAGGAACAGCCCAAAUUUGAAAUCUCCUAGAGUCACUCUAGGCGAAUUGUAGUUUGAAGAAGCGUUUUCUAUAUGCCAUUCCUAGUACAAGUUCUUUGGAAAAAGACAUCAUAGAGGGUGAAAAUCCCGUCUUUGACUAGGACAUGGUAUAGUUAUGAUACGCUUUCUAAGAGUCGGUUUGCUUGGGAUCGCAGACCAAAGUGGGUGGUAAAUACCAUCUAAGGCUAAAUAAAAGUGAGAGACCGAUAGCAAACAAGUACCGUGAGGGAAAGAUGAAAAGAACUUUGAAAAGAGAGUUAAAAGUACGUGAAAUUGUCUAAAGGGAAACGUUAGACACCAGUAUUGUCAUAGGGAAAUUAGGCGUCCUUUUAUAGGGCGAUUACUUUUCCCUAGACAAGUCAAUGACAGUUUCUAUGCGGUUAAAAAGCUAUGGGAAUGUAGCUCGCCUUUGGGCAAGUGUUAUAGACCAUAGUAAUUGAGCCUAUUAGGGACUGAGGUAUACCUAGUUAUUGACGAAAUGGUGCUUAGCGACCCGUCUUGAAACACGGACCAAGGAGUGCAACAUGUAUGCGAGUAUUUGGGCGGAAAACCCUUAUGCGUAGCGAAAGCGAUAGGUGGGACCCUUACCUUUGGUGAGGAGCACCAUCGGCCUCAUUAGAUUAUUACUAUCUCAAUGAGAGCAAGAGCAUAUAUGCUGCGACCCGAAAGAUGGUGAACUAUACCUGAAUAGGGCGAAGCCAGAGGAAACUCUGGUGGAGGCUCGUAGCGAUUCUGACGCGCAAAUCGAUCGUCGAA